rnacentral:rRNA from 1 species
CCCUUAGAUGCUCUGGGCCGCACGCGCGCUACACUGGUCGAUGCAACGAGUUUCUUUCCUUGGCCGACAGGCCUGGGCAAUCUUUGAACAUCGAUCGUGAUCGGGAUAGAUUCUUGUAAUUUUUGAUCUUAAACGAGGAAUUCCUAGUAAACGCAAGUCAUCAGCUUGCAUUGAUUACGUCCCUGCCCUUUGUACACACCGCCCGUCGCACCUACCGAUUGAAUGGUCCGGUGAAAUCUCCGGACUGGCGUGAGUCGGAGCAAUCUGACAAACGCCGGAAAGUUGAUUAAACCUUACCAUUUAGAGGAAGGUGAAGCCGUAACA